rnacentral:rRNA from 1 species
UACAGAGGUGGCAAGCGUUGUUCGGAAUUACUGGGCGUAAAGGGCGCGUAGGCGGCCUUCUAAGUCGGACGUGAAAGCCCCAGGCUUAACCUGGGAACUGCGUCCGAUACUGGGAGGCUUGGAUUCGGGAGAGGGAUGUGGAAUUCCAGGUGUAGUGGUGAAAUGCGUAGAUAUCGGGAGGAACACCAGUGGCGAAGGCGGCUACCUGGCCCACUCUUGACGCUGAGGCGCGAAAGCUAGGGGAGCAAACGGG